UACGGAGGAUGCAAGCGUUAUCCGGAAUGAUUGGGCGUAAAGCGUCCGCAGGUGGCUAUGUAAGUCUGCUGUUAAAGAGUGAGGCUCAACCUCAUAAGAGCAGUGGAAACUACAUGGCUAGAGUGCGUUCGGGGGUAGAGGGAAGUUCCUGGUGUAGCGGUGAAAUGCGUAGAGAUCAGGAAGAACACCGGUGGCGAAAGCGCUCUGCUAGGCCGCAACUGACACUCAUGGACGAAAGGCUAGGGGAGCGAAUGGGA
rnacentral:rRNA from 1 species